AGACUCGGCAAAACGGGAUGAAAUGGAUACUUUAUCAGAAGAAGUGUUCACCAAUAGAACUGGGUAUAUCAGAACAAGAAUUUACCACAAUAGCUUUGUUGUAGAAGAAGAGUGUACCACAAUAACUGUGUUUGUCCAAUCCAUUGUUACCUGAAAGUUUUGAUGAUACUCUCACUAUAGCUACAAC